GACGAACCGUGCGAACGUUGUUCGGAAUCACUGGGCUUAAAGGGCGCGUAGGCGGGCCCUCAAGUCCGGGGUGAAAUCCUCCCGCCUAACGGGAGAAGAGCCUCGGAGACUGAGGGCCUCGAGGGGGGUAGGGGCGUGCGGAACUAUGGGUGGAGCGGUGAAAUGCAUUGAUAUCCAUAGGAACGCCGGUGGCGAAGGCGGCACGCUGGACCCCUUCUGACGCUGAGGCGCGAAAGCCAGGGGAGCAAACGGG
rnacentral:rRNA from 1 species